AUAAAGUCCAACAUAAAAGAAGAGGGAGAUCUUGUUCAAUAUCUCAUGGAGUUGGCAGAGACAUAGCAAUAAUGAUGAUGUUUCAUCUUUAUGUGAAUUUGUUGAUGCAGUAAGUUAUGACUAAAAUUCUAGUUUACAUUUUCCAUGUAUCCCUCGCAUCUGCACGUGAUAGGUUCAGCUUCUUUUGACCAUCAAAUGAUACUUUACUAAAGCUUGAAAGUUUAAUUUUAUUCAUGAUAAUCUAUAUGCAGCAAGUCUCAAAUUAAGGUUGUUAUA
rnacentral:misc_RNA from 1 species